rnacentral:rRNA from 1 species
UCAACUAGUUGUUGGUAGGGUAAAACCUAUUAGUAACGAAGCUAACGCGUGAAGUUGACCGCCUGGGGAGUACGGCCGCAAGGUUAAAACUCAAAGGAAUUGACGGGGACCCGCACAAGCGGUGGAUGAUGUGGAUUAAUUCGACGCAACGCGAAAAACCUUACCUACCCUUGACAUGUCAGGAAUCCUGAUGAAAGUCGGGAGUGCCCGAAAGGGAAUCUGAACACAGGUGCUGCAUGGCUGUCGUCAGCUCGUGUCGUGAGAUGCUGGGUUAAGUCCCGCAACGAGCGCAACCCUUGUCAUUAAUUGCCAUCAUUUAGUUGGGCACUUUAAUGAGACUGCCGGUGACAAACCGGAGGAAGGUGGGGAUGACGUCAAGUCCUCAUGGCCCUUAUGGGUAGGGCUUCACACGUCAUACAAUGGUCGGUACAGAGGGUUGCCAAGCCGCGAGGUGGAGCCAAUCCCAGAAAGCCGAUCGUAGUCCGGAUUGGAGUCUGCAACUCGACUCCAUGAAGUCGGAAUCGCUAGUAAUCGCGGAUCAGCAUGUCGCGGUGAAUACGUUCCCGAGUCUUGUACACACCGCCCGUCACACCAUGGGAGUGGGUUCUGCCAGAAGUAGCUAGUCUAACCGCAAGGGGGACGGUUACCACGGCAGGGUUCAUGACCGGGGUGAAGUCGUAACAAGGUAGCCGUA